GAUGAACGCUGGCGGCGUGCCUAAUACAUGCAAGUCGAGCGAAUGGAUUAAGAGCUUGCUCUUAUGAAGUUAGCGGCGGACGGGUGAGUAACACGUGGGUAACCUGCCCAUAAGACUGGGAUAACUCCGGGAAACCGGGGCUAAUACCGGAUAACAUUUUGAACCGCAUGGUUCGAAAUUGAAAGGCGGCUUCGGCUGUCACUUAUGGAUGGACCCGCGUCGCAUUAGCUAGUUGGUGAGGUAACGGCUCACCAAGGCAACGAUGCGUAGCCGACCUGAGAGGGUGAUCGGCCACACUGGACUGAGACACGGCCCAGACUCCUACGGGAGGCAGCAGUAGGGAAUCUUCCGCAAUGGACGAAAGUCUGACGGAGCAACGCCGCGUGAGGGAUGAAGGCUUUCGGGUCGUAAAACUCUGUUGUUAGGGAAGAACAAGUGCUAGUUGAAUAAGCUGGCACCUUGACGGUACCUAACCAGAAAGCCACGGCUAACUACGUGCCAGCAGCCGCCGUAA
rnacentral:rRNA from 1 species